rnacentral:rRNA from 1 species
GUUGAAAAACGAGUAGCGAACGGGUGAGUAACGCAUGGGAAUCUACCUUAUAGUUUGGUUAAAUGCCUUAUAUAAAAAGAAUUUUCGCUAUAAGAUGAGCCUUUGUAGGAUUAGGUAGUUGGUAAGGUAACUGCUUACCAAGCCGAUGAUCCUUAAUUGGCCUGAGAGGGUGUACAAUCACAUUAGAACUGAGAAAGGUCUAAACAUUUACGAAUGGCAGCAGUGGGGAAUAUUGAACAAUGGGCGCAAGCUCGAUUCAGCGAUAUGGAGUGGAUGAUGACAGUCAUUUGAUUGUAAAGUCCUUUUACCAAGAAAGAUUUUGACUUUACUUGGAGAAAAAGCCCUGGCAAAUUUCGUGCCAGCAGCCGCGGUGAUACGAAAAGGGCUAGUGUUAUUCGGAAUAAUUGGGCGUAAAGGGUGAGUAGGCUGUAAUCAAAGUUAAUCAUUAAAUCUUAGUAGUAAGUACUAAAUCAAUUUUUAAUAACAAGUUACUAGAGUAAAAGAGAGGAUUGUAGAAUUUCAAGUGGAGAAAUAAAAUUCGUAGAUUUUUGAAGGAAUAUCGAAAGCGAAGGCAACAAUCUGGCUUUAUACUGACGCUGAUUCACGAAAGCGUAGGUAGCAACCGGGAUUAGAGACCCCGUUAGUCUACGCCGUAAACGAUGAGUACUCAUUUUUGGAUAGAAUAUAUUCAGAAAUUUAGCUAACGCGUUAAGUACUCCGCCUGAGAAGUACAGUGGCAACACUGAAAACUCAAAGGAAUUGACGGGGAUUUAUACCAUUCGUGGAACAUGUCAUUUAAUUCGUAAAUACACGCAAAACCUUACCA